UUUAAUUACAAAUUAUAAAUAAGUAAAAUCAUAACCCUAAAUCUAAAAAACAGAAGCCUAUCUCCUCAGACUCUUACUGUCUCUCUCUCAACUCUCACCUUACUCAGCCACCACAGUCACUAACGAAGCCAGCCACCACCUUCACUUUUCCAGCAAGCCACCAUUGUCACUGAUGAAGCCAGUUAACACCAUCACUUUUCUAGCUCGCCACUACCGCACUUAUGAAGCCAACCAUCACCGUCUUCACGAUUCAAGCAGUCAGUAGCCAGCCACCAUCAUCACUUACUCAUAAUUCAAGUAUCCACCACCAUUAACCACUACUCGUCUCCUGCCGUCAUUUGUCGUUACUGUCGCGCCAGUGGAGGUGAGUAUUACUGAGUUGUGUUCAAUUUGUUUUAUUAUUUACUAUUGUUUGAUAUUUUUUCCCUUAAUCAUGUCUUUUUAUUUGUGAUUACAAGAUUAAGAUCAGUUUAUUGAAACUUUGAUUUUUGAAACUGGUUUUGGGAAUUCUUUUUCACAGGAAUAAUUCAGUUCGAUUUUAUAAAUCAAUAUCGAACUAAAUAAAUAAAAUAGGCGAAUGGUAUCAUUCUUUGUUCUAUGGGUAUUUGUUAAUCUAUUUAAUUAUUCAGUUAAAAUUAACAUAAUAAGCAUAAAUUAUUAAACAUAAUAGGCAUCAAUUAUUACAUCGCCAUCAAUCCAUUCUCCUGGCAUAAAAACGUGUUGCUUUGAGUUGUACUACUGUGUCCUUUAUCCACCAUGACUUCCUUUUUACCAUGAAAGACAAUGUCAUUUCAACAAAUAGUACCAAAAUAAGGAUAUUUAUACAUAGUUUACAAAUACACUAGUCGUAAAAGCAUUUCAUAUAUAUCAGAUCAUAUAUUUCAUUUAAUUUGUCAUAAAAACGGUAAAGAAUAAGUCGUUUUGCAACCUUGAAAAGUGGGUUGGGAAUAAUGAACAUACCAGCAAAGAAUCAUAGUUUAGUAAAUUUACAAAUGACAUUCUUAUCUCGAGAAUGUCCAAUAUACCUAGCCUAUGAAUAACACAAAAUACAUUUUACAUUAGUAUAGUAAUGUCACCAAGUGCAAUAACGGUAAAUACAUAAAGCAAUUGUAACAAAUACACGUCACUACCUUAUAUUCUUUAGGAAUCACUUUUGAUGUUUCUUGGUCCAUUUCCAAUUAUUUUGAUUGAAAUGUAUCAUUGCUUUCACCAUCCAAAGCCCCUUCUAAUCUAUACAACAAAUCAUGUAACUGCCUUUCCUUUGAGUUUUAGAUGGAAUCAUCAUAAGGACUAGCCCGACGACAUGAAAUUGAACCUUUAGUCGAUGUGAUUUACACAACUAAAGUGCCACCAUUUUUUUCUUGCAAACAAACAAAAUCGGGGAAUGGAUUUUGAAUGUCACAUGUGCUGAGAUGAUUGACAGGAGAUGAAGAUGGCCAUUGGUUUUCCUUAUAUGUAAUACUUCAUUUAGAAGUGUAGUUUGAUCAGCCAUACCUCAUCAACCUUAAGGGUCAAUAUCCUAGAUGCAAAAUAUUACUUCUUAAUUAUUUCUUCACUAUUAGUAUACCCAACAAUGUUUUGCUGAAAGAGUCCGCUAGUGUCAACAUAAUGCAUCUUGACCUAUUUAAUCACAAAAUGAAUUACAUCAAAUAACUAGGAAAAUGUCAAUAUGUCAAAUUAGGAAAAAUUUAUAAUGAAGUAUGAAUUUUUACAGUAUUGAUAAUGUUUUUUCCUUUUUUUUUUAAUUGUCCAUUGGAUUUAAGGGUCAAUAUCUCUAUCCUUCAUUUUAAUGAAUGAGAACUAGUUAUAUGGGUAAUAAGUAACCACCUUAUCUUUUUAAUAAUUAAAAACAAAUUAUUCCUUUAAUUAUUUGUAGAAAUUUAUUUUAGAUCAUUGUAAAAAAAAAAAUACUACCAGGUGAAGAUAAUUCGUAUAAAUUGAAAUAUAAAAUUGUUUAACUUAAAAGUUUUUUUUUUCAAUUUUUUUUUUAUAACAAACUCAAAAAUGUAUUAAUGAAGAAGAUGAAAAACAUAAACUGAACCAGCUGUCCACUAAGAAAACAAAGACUAGCACUAGUUGUGGCAACAAAGGUGUACCCAAUCACUACUAAAGUAUACGCAUUUAUUCAUCAUAAAUCAGUGCACAUUUUUCUAUAAGCCCACUGAUAGUCGUUUACGCUUCCGUUGGUGAUUGUCCAGUUCUAUCCUUCCAAAAGAAAAUUUUCAAAUCUAUAUAUCUAUAUAAAGCUAGGACUUGAGGAGGUGAUGUGGCAUCACCAUUUUGCUUCUUUGUAUAUUCUCUAUUAUCUAAUAAAUAGAGAUUUUUUUUUUUAGAUUUGGCUUUUCAUCUUCUCAUAAUUAAUUUGAUUGUAUUUAACUCAUUUAAUAAAUAGUAACUUUAUUAAUAUAUAUCAUUCCUCAUCUUUUUAUAUUUUCUAUUAUCUAACAUAUCUAAAAUAUUGGUGGAUAUUCUUUGUACUAUUUUUUCUC
rnacentral:lncRNA from 1 species